rnacentral:rRNA from 1 species
CUUCGGCCCGAGUUGUAAUUUGCAGAGGAUGUUUAUGGUGCGGUACCUUCCGAGUUCCCUGGAACGGGACGCCACAGAGGGUGAGAGCCCCGUCUGGUUGGAUACCAAACCUGUGUUAAACUCCUUCAACGAGUCGAGUAGUUUGGGAAUGCUGCUCUAAAUGGGAGGUAAAUCUCUUCUAAAGCUAAAUACCGGCCAGAGACCGAUAGCGCACAAGUAGAGUGAUCGAAAGAUGAAAAGCACCUUGAAAAGGGGGUUAAACAGUACGUGAAAUUGUUGAAAGGGAAGCGAUUAUGACCAGACUUGUGCCGUGUGGCUCAUCCGAGGUUCUCCCCGGUGCACUCCACACGGUUCAGGCCAACAUCGGUUUUCGUCGGGGGAUAAGAAUAGUAGGAACGUGGCUUUCUUCGGAGAGUGUUAUAGCCUAUUAUACGAUACCCUGACGGGGACCGAGGACCGCGCUUCGGCAAGGAUGUUGGCGUAAUGGUCAUUACCGACCCGUCUUGAAACACGGACCAAGGAGUCGUCCAUUAGAGCGAGCGUUUGGGUGUAAAACCCGCACGCGUAAUGAAAGUGAAAUUAGGUGAGAGCUUCGGCGCAUCAUCGACCGAUCCUGAAGUUUACGGAUGGAUUUGAGUAAGAGUUUUAACGGACGGACCCGAAAGACAGUGAACUAUGCUUGAAUAGGGUGAAGCCAGAGGAAACUCUGGUGGAGGCUCGCAGCGGUUCUGACGUGCAAAUCGAUCGUCAAAUUUGAGCAUGGGGGCGAAAGACUAAUCGAACUGUUAGCUACUAGGCAGUUAAAAGUCUCCCAGUAAUGGGAGGCUAGUGGGCACCUACAGCGUGCCCGCGACACCGUCAAAUUGCGGGGACCUCCUGUUAAAUGUACAGUACCGCGGCUUUUUCGAAAGAUUAAGUGCAGCACCAGGUGUAAUGGCCUGGGUAUGGUAAUAAACUGUUUACAUAGGGACAAUCCGCAGCCAAGCCCUAAAGCUCUUUUACAGAGCCAUGGGUGCAGUUCACAGACUAGACGUCGGUGGGCCUUUAGGGGCUUAAGAUAUAGUCGAGACCCCCUAGUAAUAGGUGGGAUUACUUCUAG